rnacentral:rRNA from 1 species
UACGUAGGGGGCAAGCGUUGUCCGGAUUUAUUGGGCGUAAAGAGCGUGUAGGCGGCUUGGUAGGUCCGCUGUGAAAACUCGAGGCUCAACCUCGAGAUGUCGGCGGAAACCACUUGGCUAGAGUCCGGAAGAGGAGAGUGGAAUUCCAGGUGUAGCGGUGAAAUGCGCAGAUAUCAGGAGGAACACCGAUUGCGGAGGCAGCUCGCUGGAACGUUACUGACGCUGAGACGCGAAAGCGUGGGGAGCAAACAGG